GACGAACGCUGGCGGCGUGCUUAACACAUGCAAGUCGAGCGGUAAGGCCCUUUCGGGGUACGACGAGCGGCGAACGGGUGAGUAACACGUGGGUGACCUGCCCUCAGCUCUGGGAUAAGCCUGGGAAACCGGGUCUAAUACUGGAUAUGACUCCAUGACGCAUGUUGUGGGGUGGAAAGCCUUGUGCGGCUGAGGAUGGGCCCGCGGCCUAUCAGCUUGUUGGUGGGGUGANGGCCUACCAAGGCGACGACGGGUAGCCGGCCUGAGAGGGCGACCGGCCACACUGGGACUGAGACACGGCCCAGACUCCUACGGGAGGCAGCAGUGGGGAAUCUUGCGCAAGUGGGCGAAAGCCUGACGCAGCGACGCCGCGUGA
rnacentral:rRNA from 1 species